rnacentral:rRNA from 1 species
UACCAGCUCUCCGAGUGGUGUGGAUGUUUAUUGGGCCUAAAGCAUCCGUAGCUGGCUGGGCAAGUCCCCUGUUAAAUCCACCGAUUUAAUCGUUAGAGUGCGGGGGAUACUGUUCGGCUAGGGGACGGGAGAGGCAGACGGUAUUUUCGGGGUAGGGGUGAAAUCCUAUAAUCCCGGGAAGACCACCAGUGGCGAAGGCUGUCUGCUAGAACGCGCCCGACGGUGAGGGAUGAAAGCUGGGGGAGCGAACCGGAUUAGAUACCCGGGUAGUCCCAGCUGUAAACGAUGCAGGCUAGGUGUUUGGGCGGCCACGUGGGCGUCCAGUGCAGAAGAGAAGUUGUUAAGCCCACCGCCUGGGAAGUACGGUCGCAAGGCUGAAACUUAAAGGAAUUGGCGGGGGAGCACAGCAACGGGAGGAGCGUGCGGUUU